rnacentral:lncRNA from 1 species
UGCUGAUUAGUGUCUAAAAGUGUUUCAAAGAUAUAUCAUUUACAAGGCAUUUUACAUUCACUUUGUUUAAAAACGCUAAUGUUAGUCUCUAAUUCCAAUUCUCAUGCCGUAAAUUCAAUUUCCAUAAAUACAUGGUUAAAAAUGCAAUUAAUUGAAAUACGUAUUUACAUACAUGGUGGCAUGAGUAUUAUACAUUUGAAAGAGUAUCUAUUUGAUGUAUUUCACAUGUAUUUUCAAUUUAUUACAAGUGGAGCAAGUGGAGGAAAAUAAUGUUGAAAAGUCAAAAAUAGUGACUGCCUCAAGCAAGAAGCAGCUGUUGGUAAAAUAAUCAUAACUUGAGCUACAGACAUUGGAUAGAGGUGAUUCAAGUUGGGUUGGAAAGAUAAGGCACGUUUCUACAACUUUCAUGUUUUAGAAGAAGUCAAAUUCGUAUCACAAGGCAGCCAAAAUUACCGUGUAAAGUCCAGCCUGUUACCUGCCGGAUACAGCUUUACCUGUGAAGCAGCACUUAUUGUUUUUGUCAUAUCUGGAGUUAUAGAGAUCCAAUGAACCUGAUCUUUGAACCAAUGGAAAGAUAACUCAAGUGGAAAUAUUUUAUCUGUUGAUAAUAAGUCCAAAUUUGCUGCUCAAUGUAUCUGAAAAUUGGCAUCAAGUUGUAUGUUCCAGCUGUCUUAAAGCUGGACAGAAACAAGUUGCAUUGCCUACUUGAAUUUUGGAUGUUCCUUUGCCUAUAAAAGGGGACCUUGGCCACGAUUUUGAAGCAUCAAUUCCUCUCCAUCAUAUUAUAGUUUCCUUCAUUUUCUUUGUAACAUUUCACUAUGUAUUUCUAAACAUUUAGCUAGAGCUAAGGGUGAAACUUUGAUGAAUGUUUAGUAUUGUCUUUGAUCUUUCAUUUUGUUCUUCAAUGUUCAUCUUCUUACUUGGUUGAAGUUUGUGUUCUACAAAUGGUUUUGGUUUGUUAAAGACUUUGAUUUAUUGUUGACAAUUUUGGCACAAUAAAUGCUUAGAUAAUCUCUACAUACCAACAACUUAUUUUGACAUAUUCUCUCAAACAAUUAUCAAGAUCUAUCUUUCAAUAUAUUUGUGAUCAAUGCUUUAUCUUCCAUAUGAGAUCACUCCUUAGUUGAUUUUCAUAUGAGUUAAAUUAAAGAUCAAGGGCAAUUUCUACUCAUUUAUCCGAAGUGAAUCCCUGACGCUCUAGUGUUCGUCUCAAUCGUAUUUCCACAAACCGUUUAUUACUCAUAGAAUAGUUCGUUUCCUUCCAAUUCCCUGUGGUUCGACCUCGGACUUCCGAGAUUUACUACUUGCGACAACCUGCACUUGGGUUUGCAACCUUAAAGUUGUAGCAACUGCCGUUGG